rnacentral:rRNA from 1 species
GUCUUAUUGAUAAUAAUUUUAAGUCGACCUGCCCAAUGAGUACUUGAAUGGCUGCAGUAUAACUGACUGUACAAAGGUAGCAUAAUCAAUUGGUUUUUAAAUGAAAUCUGGAAUGAAAGGAUUAAUGAAACAUACACUGUCUCAUAUAUAUUUCACGAAUUUAAAAUUUUAAUUAAAAUGUUAAAAUUUGUUUAUGGGACGAUAAGACCCUAUAGAAUUUUAUAUUGUCAUAUCUUAGUUGUUAAUUCAAAAAAUUUGACAAUAUUUGGUUGGGAGGACUAUUAAACUUUACAAACUUUAAUUUCUGAUAACUUUAAUUAAAGAAAAACUUUUAACGACCCUCAAAUUGGGAUAGCUAGACUAAAUUACCUUAGGGAUAACAGCGUAAUACUUUUUUAUAGAUCGUAUAGAAAAAAGUGAUUGCGACCUCGAUGUUGAAUUAAGAUAAAUUUUAAACGCAGGAGUUUAAUAAUUAAGUCUGUUCGACUUUUAAAAUCUUACAUGAUUUGAGUUCAAAUCGACGUAAGU